AUGUUUUCGCUUGCCGCCUCUCUUCUCUCUUCACACUGUCAAUUAGAGUCAAGAUUCGGGACAGAUUCGUCACCGGAACUAAAGGGACUGAACAGCUGCAGGACUGGGCAGGACAGAAGCUUCCAUCUACAGUGGAUUGCAGUUUCACGAUGGAUGGCUGGCUCACCUGAAGGAACUCUUCAUCAUCAGCAACAGG